rnacentral:rRNA from 1 species
UCCAGCAAUGCCGCGUGUGUGAAGAAGGCCUUCGGGUUGUAAAGCACUUUUGUCCGGAAAGAAAUCCUUGGCUCUAAUACAGUCGGGGGAUGACGGUACCGGAAGAAUAAGCACCGGCUAACUACGUGCCAGCAGCCGCGGUAAUACGUAGGGUGCGAGCGUUAAUCGGAAUUACUGGGCGUAAAGCGUGCGCAGGCGGUUUGCUAAGACCGAUGUGAAAUCCCCGGGCUCAACCUGGGAACUGCAUUGGUGACUGGCAGGCUAGAGUAUGGCAGAGGGGGGUAGAAUUCCACGUGUAGCAGUGAAAUGCGUAGAGAUGUGGAGGAAUACCGAUGGCGAAGGCAGCCCCCUGGGCCAAUACUGACGCUCAUGCACGAAAGCGUGGGGAGCAAACAGGAUUAGAUACCCUGGUAGUCCACGCCCUAAACGAUGUCAACUAGUUGUUGGGGAUUCAUUUCCUUAGUAACGUAGCUAACGCGUGAAGUUGACCGCCUGGGGAGUACGGUCGCAAGAUUAAAACUCAAAGGAAUUGACGGGGACCCGCACAAGCGGUGGAUGAUGUGGAUUAAUUCGAUGCAACGCGAAAAACCUUACCUACCCUUGACAUGGUCGGAAUCCUGC